rnacentral:misc_RNA from 1 species
AACGCACGAGACCUGCGGACCUGCGGAGGGAUCAUUACCGAGUGAGGGCCCUCUGGGUCCAACCUCCCACCCGUGUUUAUCGUACCUUGUUGCUUCGGCGGGCCCGCCGUCACGGCCGCCGGGGGGCACCCGCCCCCGGGCCCGCGCCCGCCGAAGACACCCCUGAACGCUGUCUGAAGAUUGCAGUCUGAGCGAUUAGCUAAAUCAGUUAAAACUUUCAACAACGGAUCUCUAGAUCGG